AAAAGGUGAUAUUGGGCACAAGCCAUUGGUCCGAGAAGUGUUGAGAAAGUAUAGACCGUAUCUUACACACAGUAAUAUUCCUUUUUCACAUUAAUAUUACUGGUUUGUCUAGUCUUGACUAAUUUAAUUAUGCUUCUUUGUUUGCAGCCAUGAGAAAGAACAGGAGUUUCAUCGAUUUGCAAAUAGGGUCAUGGCUGUAGGUUUUGGGAUUACCGUUAGUGUGAUAGUGUAUUAUCGUUUUCCUCGGAUGUCUGCUGAGCCACGUCGUGUAAGUGAGCAUAAGAUGGUGAUAGUACUGAAAAUAUGUUGAUAGUUCGUCCCAAACUGUUGUGGAAUGGUAAUGUCGUCGACUAGAUGAGACAAAUUUACCUUGAAGGUGGGACUAAUUUAUCUAAGUAAUCCGGUU
rnacentral:lncRNA from 1 species